AGAGAAGGAGCCACUGAUCCUACU
rnacentral:siRNA from 1 species